AGUGGUGGGCCAUGGCUAAGUGGUACAGCAUCUGCUUUGGAUGCAGAAGGUCCCAGGUUCAAUCCCCAGCAUCUCUU